rnacentral:rRNA from 1 species
GACGAACGCUGGCGGCGUGCUUAACACAUGCAAGUCGAACGGAAAGGCCCUGCUUUUGUGGGGUGCUCGAGUGGCGAACGGGUGAGUAACACGUGAGUAACCUGCCCUUGACUUUGGGAUAACUUCAGGAAACUGGGGCUAAUACCGGAUAGGAGCUCCUGCUGCAUGGUGGGGGUUGGAAAGUUUCGGCGGUUGGGGAUGGACUCGCGGCUUAUCAGCUUGUUGGUGGGGUAGUGGCUUACCAAGGCUUUGACGGGUAGCCGGCCUGAGAGGGUGACCGGCCACAUUGGGACUGAGAUACGGCCCAGACUCCUACGGGAGGCAGCAGUGGGGAAUAUUGCACAAUGGGCGGAAGCCUGAUGUAGCAACGCCGCGUGCGGGAUGACGGCCUUCGGGUUGUAAACCGCUUUCGCCUGUGACGAAGCGUGAGUGACGGUAAUGGGUAAAGAAGCACCGGCUAACUACGUG